rnacentral:rRNA from 1 species
UAAGACCUUGCGCUUUUGGAGCGGCCGAUGCCUGAUUAGCUAGUUGGUGGGGUAAUGGCCUACCAAAGCUUCGAUCAGUAGCUGGUCUGAGAGGACGGCCAGCCACACUGGGACUGAGACACGGCCCAGACUCCUACGGGAGGCAGCAGUGGGGAAUUUUGGACAAUGGGGGCAACCCUGAUCCAGCCAUGCCGCGUGAGUGAAGAAGGCCUUCGGGUUGUAAAGCUCUUUCAGCCGGAAMGAAACGGUUACGGUUAAUACCCGUGACUACUGACGGUACCGGAAGAAGAAGCACCGGCUAACUACGUGCCAGCAGCCGCGGUAAUACGUAGGGUGCGAGCGUUAAUCGGAAUUACUGGGCGUAAAGGGUGCGCAGGUGGUUUUGUAAGUCAGAUGUGAAAUCCCCGGGCUUAACCUGGGAACU